UGUGGACUCUUAGGUGUCUGU
rnacentral:siRNA from 1 species